GCUUAACGCGAAGAACCUUACCUACCCUUGACAUGCUAGGAAGCUCGCAGAGAUGUGAGCGUGCCCGAAAGGGAAUCUAGACACAGGUGCUGCAUGGCUGUCGUCAGCUCGUGUCGUGAGAUGUUGGGUUAAGUCCCGCAACGAGCGCAACCCUUGCCAUUAGUUGCUACAUUCAGUUGGGCACUCUAAUGGGACCGCCGGUGACAAACCGGAGGAAGGUGGGGAUGACGUCAAGUCCUCAUGGCCCUUAUGGGUAGGGCUUCACACGUAAUACAAUGGUCGGUACAGAGGGCUGCCAACCCGCAAGGGGGAGGCUAAUCCCACGAAAGACCGAUCGUAGUCCGGAUUGCAGUCUGCAACUCGACUGCAUGAAGCCGGAAUCGCUAGUAAUCGCGGAUCAGCAUGUCGCGGUGAAUACGUUCCCGGGUCUUGUACACACCG
rnacentral:rRNA from 1 species